rnacentral:rRNA from 1 species
AGAGUUUGAUCAUGGCUCAGAUUGAACGCUGGCGGUAUGCUUAACACAUGCAAGUCGAACGGUAACAGGCAAAGCUUGCUUUGCGCUGACGAGUGGCGGACGGGUGAGUAACGCGUAGGAAUCUGCCUUAUAGUGGGGGAUAGCCCGGAGAAAUCCGGAUUAAUACCGCAUACGCCCUACGGGGGAAAGUUGGGGAUCUUCGGACCUGACGCUAUUGGAUGAGCCUGCGUUAGAUUAGCUUGUUGGUGGGGUAAUGGCCUACCAAGGCAACGAUCUAUAGCUGGUCUGAGAGGACGAUCAGCCACACUGGGACUGAGACACGGCCCAGACUCCUACGGGAGGCAGCAGUGGGGAAUAUUGCACAAUGGGCGAAAGCCUGAUGCAGCAAUACCGCGUGUGUGAAGAAGGCCUGAGGGUUGUAAAGCACUUUCAAUUGUGAGGAAAAGCUUUUGGUUAAUAACCUUGAGUCUUGACGUUAGCAAUACAAGAAGCACCGGCUAACUCCGUGCCAGCAGCCGCGGUAGUACGGAGGGUGCAAGCGUUAAUCGGAAUUACUGGGCGUAAAGAGUACGUAGGUGGUCUAUUAAGUCAGAUGUGAAAGCCCCGGGCUUAA